GGUUGGAUCAUUAACAAAAAGCUUAGGCCUCCUGCCGCCCCAAAAGGGCUAAGGAGAAACCUAAACAUUUGUGUGCACCAUAUCUGUCUUUGGCAGUUCGAGUGUCCCGGUUGGCGUAACUGCCCCGGGUACCUACCUCUGGUAUGCCUUGGGUGUGCCUUAGGUUGGGCUGCCGCCUUUUUAACAAACAUUUUUCUUGUUUUAUUUGCCUGAUUUUUGAUUUAAUCUUGAUUGAUUGAAUUUUAAAACAACUUUUGACAACGGAUCUCUUGGCUCUCGCAACGAUGAAGAACGCAGCGAAAUGCGAUAAGUAAUGUGAAUUGCAGAAUUCAGUGAAUCAUCGAAUCUUUGAACGCACAUUGCGCUCCCUGGUAUUCCGGAGAGCAUGCCUGUUUGAGAAUCAGUAAAUUCUUCAACACCUAAAGUGGGUGCAUUAAUUUGCGCCCGCUUGAAAGUGUUGGAUGUGAGCCUUUUUGCGCAUUAGUGCAAAUGGUUUUGAAUGCAAUGUCAAAGGACCUUGGGCAGAUAUGUCUUAGGCGAAACGCAUGAAUGAGGUAACUCACAAGUACGUUUAGCAUUUGGCUUUGAAUCCCUUGUGCCUGUGACUCAACCAUUAUUAGGUCGGGUUUGCGCAUGCAAGCUUGCUCUGAACACUUGGUCUCAAAUCAGGUAGGAAAACCCGCUGAACUUAAGCAUAUCAAUAAGCGGAGGAAAAGAAACUAACAAGGAUUCCCCUAGUAACGGCGAGUGAAGCGGGAACAGCUCAAAUUUGAAAUCUCAUGGGUUUACCCGUGCGAAUUGUAGUUUAUAGAAACGUUUUCGGGGGUGGCUCUGGCAUAAGUCCCUUGGAAUAAGGCAUCAUAGAGGGUGAGAAUCCCGUAUUUGGUGAGAUGCCCGCUCCUAUGUGAUACGUUUUCUAAGAGUCGGUUUGUUUGGGAAUGCAGACCAAAAUGGGUGGUAAAUACCAUCUAAAGCUAAAUAUUGGCGAGAGACCGAUAGCGAACAAGUACCGUGAGGGAAAGAUGAAAAGAACUUUGAAAAGAGAGUUAAAAGUACGUGAAAUUGUCAAAAGGGAAACGCUUGAAACCAGUAUUGCUUUCAGGUAAUCAGCCGUUCCUUUUGGGGCGGUGCACUUGCCUGUUUGCGGGUCAACAUCAGUUUGAUUCGGGAUAAAAAGCCUUGGGAAGGUAGCCCCUCGGGGUGUUAUAGCCCAAGGUCAUGUCCUGGAUUGGACUGAGGUCUGCAGUGUUAUUUGGGUAGCCAGUCGCCUCUUGAAACCUUGUCGUAGACAGCAUGCUGACUGCGGCACGGCCUAGGGAGCACGGUUGGGAUUCCACACCAACACUUAGGAUGUUGACGAAAUGGUUUUAAACGACCCGUCUUGAAACACGGACCAAGGAGUCUAACAUAUAUGCGAGUGUUUGGGUGGCAAACCCUUACGCGUAAUGAAAGUGAACUUAGGUGGGAUCUUCGGUGCACCAUCGACCGGUCUGGAUUUUUUUGAUAGAUCUGAGUAAGAGCAUAUCUGUUGGGACCCGAAAGAUGGUGAACUAUGCCUGAAUAGGGUGAAGCCAGAGGAAACUCUGGUGGAGGCUCGUAGCGAUUCUGACGUGCAAAUCGAUCGUCAAAUUUGGGUAUAGGGGCGAAAGACUAAUCGAACCAUCUAGUAGCUGGUUCCCUC
rnacentral:misc_RNA from 1 species